ACCGUGGUAAUUCUAGAGCUAAUACAUGCUAAAAACCUCGACUUCGGAAGGGGUGUAUUUAUUAGAUAAAAAACCAAUGCCCUUCGGGGCUCCUUGGUGAUUCAUAAUAACUUAACGAAUCGCAUGGCCUUGUGCCGGCGAUGGUUCAUUCAAAUUUCUGCCCUAUCAACUUUCGAUGGUAUGGUCUUGGCUUACCAUGGUUUCAACGGGUAACGGGGAAUUAGGGUUCUAUUCCGGAGAGGGAGCCUGAGAAACGGCUACCACAUCCAAGGAAGGCAGCAGGCGCGCAAAUUACCCAAUCCCGACACGGGGAGGUAGUGACAAUAAAUACUGAUACAGGGCUCUUUUGGGUCUUGUAAUUGGAAUGAGUACAAUUUAAAUCCCUUAACGAGGAACAAUUGGAGGGCAAGUCUGGUGCCAGCAGCCGCGGUAAUUCCAGCUCCAAUAGCGUAUAUUAAAGUUGUUGCAGUUAAAAAGCUCGUAGUUGAACCUUGGGCCUGGCUGGCCGGUCCGCCUCACCGCGUGCACUGGUCCGGCCGGGUCUUUCCUUCUGAGGAGCCGCAUGCCCUUCACUGGGUGUGUCGGGGAAUCAGGACUUUUACUUUGAAAAAAUUAGAGUGUUCAAAGCAGGCCUAUGCUCGAAUACAUUAGCAUGGAAUAAUAGAAUAGGACGUGUGGUUCUAUUUUGUUGGUUUCUAGGACCGCCGUAAUGAUUAAUAGGGAUAGUCGGGGGCAUCAGUAUUCAAUUGUCAGAGGUGAAAUUCUUGGAUUUAUUGAAGACUAACUACUGCGAAAGCAUUUGCCAAGGAUGUUUUCAUUAAUCAGUGAACGAAAG
rnacentral:rRNA from 1 species